CUACCAGAAGUUCUGCAAACAUUGUUCCAAUUGUUAGAAAACGUACUUAACAUUUAAAAAAAUACUCAUGCGAACAUCAUGGCUUUUAAUUGGAAUGUAUAUGUGGCAAGAAUAAUAAUGUUUUAAUGGCUAGCAAGAUUUCACCCUGCAUAAUCAGUUUAUAAAUUUGAGGAAAUGAUCAGUCAAAUAAACUGCAUGUCAGACUGGUAUAGGUCAGAACUAUUGGCAUAACAAAUUGAGGAGAAGUUCUGCACUACAAUAAAAAAAAACUGCAGAAAAAACAAUUGCUACCAACCUGCCUUCCAUUGAGGACCUGUAUACUGCACGAGUCAAAAAGAGGGCUGUGAAAAUAUUUAGAGACCCCUCACAUCCUGGACAUAAACUGUUUCAACUCCUACCCUCAAAACGACGCUAUAGAGCACUGCACACCAGAACAACAAGACACAAGAACAGUUUUUUCCCCGAAGGCCAUCACUUUGCUAAUUCCCUCAACACUGUCAAACUAUUGACUAAAUCUGCACUACAAUCUUCUCAUCAUUCCCAUCACCCAUCUCCUUCCACUUAUGACUAUAUGACUGUAACUUUGUUGCUUGUAUCCUUACAAUUUAUAUUGAUAUUGUUUCCUGAUUGCUUAUAUAUACCCUGUGACUAUCAUUGUGUUGUACCUUAUGAUUCUUGAUGAACGUACCUUUUCUUUUAAGUACACUGAGAGCAUAUGCACCAAGACAAAUUCCUUGUGUGUCCAAUCACACUUGGCCAAUAAAAUUUAUUCUAUUCUAUUCUAUUUAGUUUGCUAGUACAGUAUGAUUUUUGUUGAUUGCUUAUUUAGUAACAUAUGACUAUCACUAAGUGUUGUAUGUUAUGAUUCUUGAUGAAUAUAUUUUAUUUUUCUUUAUCUACACUGAUAGCAUAUGCA